UCCUACGGGAUCCAGCAGUAGGCAAUAGUGGGCAAUGUUCGGCAGUGGGAGGCAGCGAGACCCCGUGACCGAUGAAGACGUAAGAGUCCUUUAGCUUUGUCAAUUUGGAUGAAGGUGUUCGAAAUUGACGGUACCCAAGGAGCAAGCCCCGGCUAACUACGUGCCAGCAGCCGCGGUAAUACGUAGGGGGCGAGCGUUGUCCGGAAUUACUGGGCGUAAAGGGUGCGUAGGCGGCCCUUUAAGUCAGAUGUGAAAGGCCACGGCUUAACCGUGGGAUUGCAUUUGAAACUGGAGGUCUUGAGUGUCGGAGAGGAAAGUGGAAUUCNCAGUGUAGCGGUGAAAUGCGUAGAUAUUAGAGAACACCAGUGCGAAGCGACUCUCUGGACGAUAACUGACGCUGAGC
rnacentral:rRNA from 1 species